rnacentral:lncRNA from 1 species
GCACCAAAGGAGCAAGCGCCUGGGCUUUAUCAGCUAAAAUAAAAAAUAAAUUACCCAGUCUCAGGUAUGUCUUUAUCAGCAGCAUGAAAAUGGACUAAUACGUGGAGGGAGGUAAAGGUUGCUAAAAUGUAAUAUGUAUUAAUUAUGAUAAUAUAUAUAUAAAACACACAGGGCUCCAUGUUAAUCAUGUUUAAGUGUACCAUGCAGUGACAUUAAUUACAUUCACAUAUUAGCACUAUUUCCAAGUAUUUUUUCAUGUAGUGAUCCAAGUGGAAAAAAACGUGCUUGCUUUCUAAAAACAUAUUUGGGCAAAUCUUUUAGAGAGGAUGCCAACGAAUCUUUCCCAAAACGAUGAAAUCUCGUUGGAGUCGGCUAAUGUUGAGUGCAUUCGAAACAAACAGGGCUGAGUUUCAUUCACUACAGUCCCUGGGUGUUUUUCAGGUCCUGCGUCUGCCUGGCAGUCAGACAUCUCUGCUAAAUGAAUAAACGCUCUCCCUCCCUGCCUUCCUCAGUCCCUUCUGUUUUAACUUUGUCACAUACUAAUUAGAGUUCUUUGUUCCCCUAUUAAAAUGUUUCAAUGGUACAAAAGCAUGGCACAUCCCUUUCUCCUAUACCUGCUAUCACUUUUCUUGAAUGCUUGUGCCAUCUUUCUUCCUUUUGUUUCUCUGACCCACUUUGUACACUUCUCCAACCUUCUCAACCCAGGGGAGAGUGGCAGGGGGAAUGGGGAGGCAAGGAGGCUGAGGAUAACUCACAGGUACUACAUCUGUAGGGUUCUCUUGCCUUCUGGCUGCCAUUUUUGGUUCUGACCCUGGGGAAUUGCCACUGAGGUUGGAGACAGGAGGAGAGUAAAGUUGGAGGGAUUUAGCCCUGGGUUCCAUCUGACAUUGGGUUUCUCCUAUAAUCCAGUGUCCUAGCACCUGUCAGGUGGCCUUGUUCAUUGAGUUCUCCCUCGCUGGGUUCUAGCCUCUCUCUCUUUCCUUUGCCAUCAUUCUCGAGUUGGGGGUGAGCUCUCCUGUUUCCCAGCCUGCAGGUUCUGCACCAUCUCUGAAUGCUUUCCCUAACAUUCUGGCUAGACUUCAGUAAAGAGUCCCUACAUUAAACCCUCUUUCACUGUUCAGCUUGCCUGCAUCACCUUCUUCCUGCUACAUCCAUCUGUGUGUGCACAGCCCCUGCCCUCUUGCCCUAGAAAUACGUGUCUAUGCACUGCACAGGCCCUUUGGCUAUCACUGCAAAUUAUCAGGAAACCAACUGUUUUCCCACUGCUGAUAAAGACAUACCUGAGGAGACCUGAUAAUUG